UCCGAGGUAGCUCAAUGGUGGAGCACUCGGCUGUUAACCGAUAGGCUGUGGGUUCGAGCCCCACCCUCGGAGCCA
rnacentral:tRNA from 1 species